GAUGAACGCUGGCGGCGUGCCUAAUACAUGCAAGUCGAGCGAACGGACGAGAAGCUUGCUUCUCUGAUGUUAGCGGCGGACGGGUGAGUAACACGUGGAUAACCUACCUAUAAGACUGGGAUAACUUCGGGAAACCGGAGCUAAUACCGGAUAAUAUUUUGAACCGCAUGGUUCAAAAGUGAAAGACGGUCUUGCUGUCACUUAUAGAUGGAUCCGCGCUGCAUUAGCUAGUUGGUAAGGUAACGGCUUACCAAGGCAACGAUGCAUAGCCGACCUGAGAGGGUGAUCGGCCACACUGGAACUGGGACACGGUCCAGACUCCUACGGGAGGCAGCAGUAGGGAAUCUUCCGCAAUGGGCGAAAGCCUGACGGAGCAACGCCGCGUGAGUGAUGAAGGUCUUCGGAUCGUAAAACUCUGUUAUUAGGGAAGAACAUAUGUGUAAGUAACUGUGCACAUCUUGACGGUACCUAAUCAGAAAGCCACGGCUAACUACGCG
rnacentral:rRNA from 1 species